GUCCACGCCCUAAACGAUGGGUACUAGACGUCGGGAAGCUUGUCUUCUUGGUGUCGCAGCUAACGCAAUAAGUACCCCGCCUGGGGAGUACGGUCGCAAGAUUAAAACUCAAAGGAAUUGACGGGGGCCCGCACAAGCGGUGGAGCAUGUGGUUCAAUUCGAUGCAACGCGAAAACCUUACCUGCACUUGACAUCUGGGGAAUCCUGCAGAGAUGCGGGAGUGCCGCAAGGAACCCCAAGACAGGUGCUGCAUGGCUGUCGU
rnacentral:rRNA from 1 species